GGCGGUGUAGCUCAGUGGUUAGAGCAGGGUCUUCAUAAGGCCAAGGUCACAGGUUCAAGUCCUGUCACCGCUA
rnacentral:tRNA from 2 species